rnacentral:rRNA from 1 species
UAAAGCGCACGCAGGCGGUCUGUCAAGUCGGAUGUGAAAUCCCCGGGCUCAACCUGGGAACUGCAUUCGAAACUGGCAGGCUAGAGUCUUGUAGAGGGGGGGAGAAUUCCAGGUGUAGCGGUGAAAUGCGUAGAGAUCUGGAGGAAUACCGGUGGCGAAGGCGGCCCCCUGGACAAAGACUGACGCUCAGGUGCGAAAGCGUGGGGAGCAAACAGGAUUAGAUACCCUGGUAGUCCACGCCGUAAACGAUGUCGAUUUGGAGGUUGUGCCCUUGAGGCGUGGCUUCCGGAGCUAACGCGUUAAAUCGACCGCCUGGGGAGUACGGCCGCAAGGUUAAAACUCAAAUGAAUUGACGGGGGCCCGCACAAGCGGUGGAGCAUGUGGUUUAAUUCGAUGCAACGCGAAGAACCUUACCUGGUCUUGACAUCCACAGAACUUUCCAGAGAUGGAUUGG